rnacentral:rRNA from 1 species
GACGUAGGGCGCGAGCGUUGUCCGGAAUUAUUGGGCGUAAAGGGCUCGUAGGCGGCCAACUAAGUCAGACGUGAAAUCCCCAGGCUUAACCUGGGAACUGCGUCUGAUACUGGAUGGCUUGAAUUCGGGAGAGGGAUGCAGAAUUCCAGGUGUAGCGGUGAAAUGCGUAGAUAUCUGGAGGAAUACCGGUGGCGAAGGCGGCAUCCUGGACCGACAUUGACGCUGAGGAGCGAAAGCUAGGGGAGCAAACGGG